rnacentral:rRNA from 1 species
UACGUAGGAGGCGAGCGUUGUCCGGAGUUACUGGGCGUAAAGCGCACGCAGGCGGUCUCUUUAGUCUGUAGGGACAGGGCACAGCUCAACUGUGUCAGGCUUAUGGAAACUGGGAGACUUGAGGGCUUCAGAGGGAUGGGGAAUUCCUGGUGUAGCGGUGAAAUGCGCAGAUAUCAGGAGGAACACCGGCGGCGAAGGCGGCACUCUGGGCCGGUACUGACGCUGAGGAGCGAAAGCGUGGGUAGCAAACAGG